rnacentral:rRNA from 1 species
GAUGAACGCUGGCGGAGUGCCUAAUACAUGCAAGUCGAGCGGCAGCGCGAGUAGUUUACUACUUGGCGGCGAGCGGCGGACGGUUGAGUAACGCGUGGGAACGUGCCCCAAAGUGAGGGAUAACCACCCGAAAGGGUGGCUAAUACCGCAUAUGAUCUUCGGAUUAAAGGAUUUAUCCGCUUUGGGAGCGGCCCGCGUACGAUUAGAUUGUUGGUGAGGUAAUGGCUCACCAAGUCGACGAUCGUUAGCUGGUCUGAGAGGAUGAUCAGCCAGACUGGGACUGAGACACGGCCCAGACUCCUACGGGAGGCAGCAGUAAGGAAUCUUCCACAAUGGGGGCAACCCUGAUGGAGCAACUCCGCGUGCAGGACGAAGGCCUUCGGGUCGUAAACUGCUUUUAUGAGUGAAGAAUAUGACGGUAACUCAUGAAUAAGGAUCGGCUAACUACGUGCCAGCAGCCGCGGUAA